UGACUGCUGAUUUGGUGACUGAAGUCCGU
rnacentral:sRNA from 1 species